rnacentral:misc_RNA from 1 species
GAUGAAGAACGCAGCGAAAUGCGAUACGUAAUGUGAAUUGCAGAAUUCAGUGAAUCAUCGAGUCUUUGAACGCACAUUGCGCCCCCUGGUAUUCCGGGGGGCAUGCCUGUCCGAGCGUCAUUGCUGCCCUCAAGCACGGCUUGUGUGUUGGGCCCCGUCCUCCGAUUCCGGGGGACGGGCCCGAAAGGCAGCGGCGGCACCGCGUCCGGUCCUCGAGCGUAUGGGGCUUUGUCACCCGCUCUGUAGGCCCGGCCGGCGCUUGCCGAUCAACCCAAAUUUUUAUCCAGGUUGACCUCGGAUCAGGUAGGGAUACCCGCUGAACUUAAGCAUAUCAUAAGCGGAGGA